rnacentral:tRNA from 1 species
GGAGAGAUGGCUGAGCGGUUGAAAGCACCGGUCUUGAAAACCGGCAAGGGGCGACCCUUCGUGAGUUCGAAUCUCACUCUCUCCGCCA